rnacentral:rRNA from 1 species
AACGAACGCUGGCGGCAUGCCUAACACAUGCAAGUCGAACGAGAUCUUCGGGUCUAGUGGCGCACGGGUGCGUAACGCGUGGGAAUCUGCCCUUUGGUUCGGAAUAACAGUUGGAAACGACUGCUAAUACCGGAUGAUGACGAAAGUCCAAAGAUUUAUCGCCAGAGGAUGAGCCCGCGUAGGAUUAGCUAGUUGGUGUGGUAAAGGCGCACCAAGGCGACGAUCCUUAGCCGGUCUGAGAGGAUGAUCAGCCACACUGGGACUGAGACACGGCCCAGACUCCUACGGGAGGCAGAAGUGGGGAAUAUUGGACAAUGGGCGAAAGCCUGAUCCAGCAAUGCCGCGUGAGUGAUGAAGGCCUUAGGGUUGUAAAGCUCUUUUACCCGGGAUGAUAAUGACAGUACCGGGAGAAUAAGCUCCGGCUAACUCCGUGCCAGCCGCCGCAGUAA